UACAGAGGUCCCGAGCGUUUGUUCGGAUUCAUUGGGCGUAAAGGGUGCGUAGGCGGUCUGCUAAGUUUGAUGUGAAAUCCCGGGGCUCAACCCUGGAAUGGCAUUGAAUACUGGUGGACUAGAGUACUGGAGAGGAAACUGGAAUUUACGGUGUAGCAGUGAAAUGCGUAGAGAUCGUAAGGAAGACCAGUGGCGAAGGCGAGUUCCUGGACAGUAACUGACGGCUGAGGCACGAAAGGCCAGGGGGAGCAAACGGGG
rnacentral:rRNA from 1 species